rnacentral:rRNA from 1 species
UACGGGGGGGGCAAGCGUUGUUCGGAAUUACUGGGCGUAAAGGGCUCGUAGGCGGCCACCUAAGUCAGACGUGAAAUCCCCAGGCUCAACCUGGGAACUGCGUCUGAUACUGGAUGGCUUGAAUCCGGGAGAGGGAUGCAGAAUUCCAGGUGUAGCGGUGAAAUGCGUAGAUAUCUGGAGGAAUACCGGUGGCGAAGGCGGCAUCCUGGACCGGCACUGACACUGAGGCACGAAAGCGUGGGGAGCAAACAGG